GGGGGUGAAGCUCAGCAGUAGAGUACUUGUGUGGCAUGCACAAGGCUCUGGGUUUGAUCCCCAGUACCACCA
rnacentral:tRNA from 1 species